AUUGAACGCUGGCGGCAGGCCUAACACAUGCAAGUCGAGCGAGCGGCGGACGGGUGAGUAAUGUAUGGGGACUGCCCGUUAGAGGGGGAUAACUACUGGAAACGGUAGCUAAUACCGCAUACUAUCGGAUAACCCAUAUGGAGUUAGCUAGUAGGUGAGGUAAUGGCUCACCUAGGCGACGAUCCCUAGCCGGUCUGAGAGGAUGAUCGGCCACACUGGGACUGAGACACGGCCCAGACUCCUACGGAGGCAGCAGUGGGGAAUAUUGCACAAUGGGCGCAAGCCUGAUGCAGCCAUGCCGCGUGUAUGAAGAAGGCCCUAGGGUUGUAAAGUACUGUCAGUAGGGAGGCGUUACCGAAAGAAGAAGCACCGGCUAACUCCGUGCCAGCAGCCGCGGUAAUAC
rnacentral:rRNA from 1 species